rnacentral:rRNA from 1 species
AUUGAACGCUGGCGGCAUGCUUUACACAUGCAAGUCGAACGGUAACAGGCCGCAAGGUGCUGACGAGCGGCGAACGGGUGAGUAAUGCAUCGGAACGUGCCCAGUCGUGGGGGAUAACGCAGCGAAAGCUGCGCUAAUACCGCAUACGAUCUAUGGAUGAAAGCGGGGGACCGUAAGGCCUCGCGCGAUUGGAGCGGCCGAUGUCAGAUUAGGUAGUUGGUGGGGUAAAGGCUCACCAAGCCAACGAUCUGUAGCUGGUGUGAGAGGACGACCAGCCACACUGGGACUGAGACACGGCCCAGACUCCUACGGGAGGCAGCAGUGGGGAAUUUUGGACAAUGGGCGCAAGCCUGAUCCAGCAAUGCCGCGUGCAGGAAGAAGGCCUUCGGGUUGUAAACUGCUUUUGUACGGAACGAAACGGUCCGGGUUAAUACCCUGGGCUAAUGACGGUACCGUAAGAAUAAGCACCGGCUAACUACGUGCCAGCCGCCGCAGUAAUAC